rnacentral:rRNA from 1 species
AGCACUGGCAUGCUCAGUACGGCGAGUGAGCGGCAAGAGCUCAAAUUUGAAAUCUGGCUCCUUCGGGGCCCGAGUUGUAAUUUGGAGAGGAUGCUUCGGGCGUGGCCCCCAUCUAAGUGCCCUGGAACGGGCCGUCAUAGAGGGUGAGAAUCCCGUCUGGGAUGGGUGGUCCCGCCCGUGUGAAGCUCCUUCGAAGAGUCGAGUUGUUUGGGAAUGCAGCUCUAAGAGGGUGGUAAAUUUCAUCUAAAGCUAAAUAUUGGCCGGAGACCGAUAGCGCACAAGUAGAGUGAUCGAAAGAUGAAAAGCACUUUGAAAAGAGAGUUAAACAGCACGUGAAAUUGUUGAAAGGGAAGCGUUGGCAACCAGACUUGCUUGGGGGGGCUCAGCCGGCACGUGUGCCGGUGCACUCCCCCCCGGCAGGCCAGCGUCGGUUUGGGCGGUCGGUCAAAGGCCCCGGGAAUGUAGCACCCUCCGGGGUGCCUUAUAGCCCGAGGCGCCAUGCGACCUGCCCGGACCGAGGAACGCGCUCCGGCUCGGACGCUGGCGUAAUGGUUGUCAACGGCCCGUCUUGAAACACGGACCA